rnacentral:rRNA from 1 species
AUUGAACGCUGGCGGCAGGCCUAACACAUGCAAGUCGAGCGGAUGACGGGAGCUUGCUCCUUGAUUCAGCGGCGGACGGGUGAGUAAUGCCUAGGAAUCUGCCUGGUAGUGGGGGACAACGUUUCGAAAGGAACGCUAAUACCGCAUACGUCCUACGGGAGAAAGCAGGGGACCUUCGGGCCUUGCGCUAUCAGAUGAGCCUAGGUCGGAUUAGCUAGUUGGUGAGGUAAUGGCUCACCAAGGCGACGAUCCGUAACUGGUCUGAGAGGAUGAUCAGUCACACUGGAACUGAGACACGGUCCAGACUCCUACGGGAGGCAGCAGUGGGGAAUAUUGGACAAUGGGCGAAAGCCUGAUCCAGCCAUGCCGCGUGUGUGAAGAAGGUCUUCGGAUUGUAAAGCACUUUAAGUUGGGAGGAAGGGCAGUAAGUUAAUACCUUGCUGUUUUGACGUUACCGACAGAAUAAGCACCGGCUAACUCCGUGCCAGCAGCCGCCGCAGUAA